UACCAGCUUGAGAAAGCAGUUCCCUCAGGACUGUUUAUUGAAUCUUUAAUUUGUAGGAGAGCAUCCCUUUCUUCAUCCAUGCACCCAUUACAACCAGAGCACAUGCAUAGAAGAAGCGAGAAGAUCAGUAAGAAGUUGUAUUUUCAUCACCCAGUGUCCCAGUCAACAGUGGAAAAUGCAAGUGUACUAUGUAUUAUCCAAGAAUCUCAAGGCUAAGGAAAUUUCAGUGCUAAAGCAAAUAAUACAGAGGGGACAACAGACAAGAAUAUCAGGACAAGGAAAAUGUCAUGUUGGUCAAACUUGUGUUCCCAUUUUCAACAAAACAAGUUACAGGCUAAUAUUGUAUACAUGUCUAUCAUAUCCUGCUUGUAUCUCAUUCAUGUGUUAAUGCCAUAUCACACUGCAAUAAUUAAUGCUCAAGUAUAUAUAUCUGAAAUAUUAAUCGAGAAGUGUAAAAGAAGUUAGAAAACGGAUGCAUCUUAUUUCUAUUAUAAACAAAAGAAUUUGAUUUCAGACUUUGGGAAAUUUCUUGC